AUGGCUGUCGUCAGCUCGUGCCGUGAGGUGUUGGGUUAAGUCCCGCAACGAGCGCAACCCCUUUCUUUAGUUGCCAGCACAUAAUGGUGGGGACUCUAGAGAAACUGCCCGCGCAAGCGGUGAGGAAGGUGGGGACGACGUCAAGUCAUCACGGCCCUUACGUCCAGGGCUACACACGUGCUACAAUGGUAGGGACAGAGGGCAGCCACUCGGUGACGAGGAGCUAAUCCUAAAACCCUAUCUCAGUUCGGAUUGAGGUCUGCAACUCGACCUCAUGAAGGUGGAAUCGCUAGUAAUCGCGCAUCAGCAAUGGCGCGGUGAAUACGUUCCCGGACCUUGUACACACCGCCCGUGGGGCGGGGGCGGCGGGCCGGGCGCGGGGCGCGGCGGGCG
rnacentral:rRNA from 1 species